rnacentral:rRNA from 1 species
UUUCACGGCCACGCCACCCUGAAUGCGCCCGAUCUCGUCUGAUCUCAGAAGCUAAGCGGGGUCGGGCCUGGUUAGUACUUGAAUGGGAGACCACCUGGAAAUACUAGGUGCUGUAGGCA